AAAUAUAAUUUACCUUUUUUAUUCAUAAGAUACAACUUUCAAAAUAUUUUGGCAAUUAAAUAAUGGAUGUAAGAUUUAAAAUCUGCUAUAGAUUUGUUAUUUGAAUAUUACAACAACAAAUUACAUAGCGAUAGAGUUUAGGUUUUUUUAGCUUUAAGUUUUGAGAUUAUUUUUUAGUGUUUAGGUUGGUAGAGUUUUAGGGUUAGAUGAGAUUUAUGGUUAGGUUAAGGUAGGGUUUUAGGGUUAGGUUUAGGCAGGGUUUAGGGUUAGCAGGGUUUAGUGUGUUAGGUAGGGUUUAGGGUUAGAAAGGGUUUAGGGUUAGGUAGAGUUUUUAGGGUUAGGCAGGGUUUUGGGUUAGGAAAGGUUUAGGGUUAGGUAGGGUUUAGGGUUAAAAAGGGUUUAGGGUAGAUAGGGUAAGGUUAGGUAGGGUUUAGAGUUAGUAGGGCUUAGGGUUAGGUAUGGUUUAGAAGGUAGGGUUUAGGGUUAGAUAGGGUUAGUAGGGUUUAGGGCUAAGUAGGGUUUAGGAUUAGGUAGGGUUUAGGAUUAGGUAGGGUUUAGGGUUAGUGUUAGUAGGGUUUAAAAUUAGGUAGGGUUUAGAAUUAGGCAGGGUUUAGGGUUAGGUCAGUUUUAGGGUUUAGGUUAGGUAGGGUUUAGGGUUAGAAAGGGUUUAGGGUUCGGUAGAGUUUAAAAUUAGGUAGGGUUUAGGGUUAGGUAGGAUUUAGGGUUAGAAAGGGUUUAGGGUUAGUAGGGUUUAAGGUUAGUAGGGUUUAGGGUUAGGUAGGAGUUAGGGCUAGAAAGGGUUCAGGGUUAGAAAGGUUUUAGGUUAGGUAGGGUUUAGGUUUGGUAAGGUUAGUAGGGUUUAGUGUUAUGUAGGGUUAGGGUUAGGUAGGAUUUAAGGUUAGGUAGGGUUUAGGGUUAGGGUUAGGUUUUAAGGUUAGGUAGUGUUUAGGGUUAGGUAGGGUUUAGGGUUAAAUAGGGUUUAGGGUUAGGUAGGGUUUAGGGUUAGUAGGGUUUAGGGUUAGGUAGGGUUUAGGGCUAAAAAGGGUUUAGGGUUAGAAAGAUUUUAGGUUAGGUAGGGCUUAGGUUAGGUAGGGUUAGUAGGGUUUAGGGUUAUGUAGGGUUAGGGUUAGGUAGGAAUUAGGGUUAGGUAGGGUUUAGGGUUAGGUUUUAAGGUUUGGUAGGGUUUAGGGUUAGGUAGGGGUUAGGGUUAAAUAGGGUUUAGGGUUAGGUAGGGUUUACGUUUAGGGUUAGGCAGGUUUACGGUUAGAUAGGUUUAGGGUUUAGGUAGUAGGAAGAGUUUAGGGAUCAGGGUUAGGUUUAUGAAGGGUUUAGGGUUAGAUAAGUGAUAUAUGGUAUUUUAUACAUCUUGUAUAUAUGUUUUUUAAUUGGUUUUCAAGUUUUUAUCGAGUCUUCCUAGUCCUUAUCGAGUCUUCCUAGUCCUUUUCGAGUCAUUACAGGUCUGGAGUUUCAUUGGAUGGGAGAUGGAGCAGCUGGAACAAAAGAGGCAGAAAACAUUGCAAUUUGAUGAUUUUCACGCAAAAUAGUCUUGAUGACUGUUCCGGAUAGCAGAGCAACCCGAGUGACUGUUCCGAGUGCCUGUUCCAGCGGCAAAUUUUUUUAAGGAAACUACAACCUAUUUCGGGAUUUGCCCUAAUCUCUCUAUCUUUUUCUCCAGCCGCCUGUGGCUUUAAUAUAUCUUUUUUUUUUCUGUUUUUCCCUAACAUUCUACGCUAUUUUUGGAGAAGAAACCAGACCUUAGAGUUGGAAACUUGAGAUUUUGCUACUUUGUAAAGGGAGAAGGCCAUCUCUCUCGAUUUUGAGAAGAACCCCCUGAACCCUAUUACUUUAUUUCAGUCAUAUUUCAUGUUGCUUUAUAUCUCUGUCUUUGUGUUUUCUUGCUCCAUAGCUGAGUAGUCAGCUUGCUUAGUCUAGGGUGUUAGGGUGUUAGAUCCGUGAGCUUGACAUAAAUAAGUUAUAAAUCGAUUGUCUUCAUUCACUGUUGUUUUUAAGGCUUGCAUCAAGUUAACCACUUAGUGCCUGAUUCUAGGUUUAAUAUAUUCAUCAAAAGUGUUAUAGGUUGCAAGACAUAACUUGAAUGAGCAUUGCAUCCCUAAUCAGCGAAAGUAGAUAUUAGGGUGUUUUGUGAACAUAUCGGACUUGAUCUCUAUUGCUUAUUGUCGCAUCUUGAUCCAAACGAGAGUUUAGGUAUCAAGAUCGAUCAGCAUAGGGGGCAGUUCCACGACAGUGGGCUGUUCUACUUGAGUGAUCCGAGUUCUAGACUUGCUCUUAAUUAAACUUGAAUAAUUGUUUGGCUCACAAUUGCUUAACACCCGACCAAACCACCCUAAACAAGCAUUUUAAUCAUCUAAAAUCUUUAAUUUAAUCUUAUUAUUACUUGCUUGUUACGAAACCUUAAUCUGAAAACCCCAUCAUUGUUUUAGCUAAGUAUUGAUCUCAUAAAGAUAAAGUGUAAUCGUUGGUCUCUGUAGAUUCGAUCCUAAAGUGCUACAUCGACAUACUAUUCGAUUGUGGUAGUGUGCACAUUAGGGUUAAUUGGUGUAUGUAUACACGUAAUAUCAAUAGGGUUAAAGGUCUAAGUUUAGGUAGGGUUUAGGAUUUAGGUAGUAGAAAAGGUUUAGCGUUUGGUUUAAGUUGGGUUUAGGGUUUGGUUUAGAAUAAUGCUUAGGAUUAUAGGGUUUAGGGUUUGUUUGUUUUUUUGUUUAUGCAUUUAGUGCUGAGUUUUUCGGAUAAAAUUUUAUAUUAAUAUUAUUGAUUCAUAA
rnacentral:lncRNA from 1 species